rnacentral:rRNA from 1 species
UACAGAGGUCUCAAGCGUUGUUCGGAUUCAUUGGGCGUAAAGGGUGCGUAGGUGGCGCUGUAAGUCGGGUGUGAAAUUUCGGAGCUUAACUCCGAAACUGCAUUCGAUACUGCGGUGCUUGAGGACUGGAGAGGAGACUGGAAUUCAUGGUGUAGUAGUGAAAUGCGUAGAGAUCAUGAGGAAGACCAGUGGCGAAGGCGGGUCUCUGGACAGUUCCUGACACUGAGGCACGAAGGCCAGGGGAGCAAACGGG